rnacentral:rRNA from 1 species
UACUACCCUGAACGGUGGAUCACUCGGCUCGCGGGUCGAUGAAGAACGCAGCCAACUGCGCGUCAUAGUGUGAACUGCAGGACACGCUCGAACAUCGACAUUUCGAACGCAAAUUGCGGUCCGCGGAGACACGUCCGGGACCACUCCUGUCUGAGGGCUGGCCGUACACCAAAAGGGGCCACACUGCGAACGCUUUCCAACAGUAAGGCGUUCUGCCGUUGACGGUUUCGACGCGUGUUGCCUCUUCGCUGCCUUUCGGUGGCGAUGGGGACGGUGUCGUCCGUUUAAAUAUUAGUCUCUCUGUGGGUAUUAUUACUCGCGACUUUUGGUCGUCUCGACGAAGCCGACACGUCGUAAGAGGUCGGUGUAGUCGAUGAAACGAUUGGAACGAUGCGCGUAAAAUAUACAAUUUAGAGAUCGCUGUAAGCGGAAACUCCGUAGCGCGCUUUCGUCGUGCGGACGGAUAUACGAGUCUGCCUACGCACCCUAUCGCCGGCCUCAGAUCAGGGAGGAUCACCCGCUGAAUUUAAGCAUAUCAGUAAGCGGAGGAAAAGAAACUAACCAGGAUUUCCUCAGUAGCGGCGAGCGAACAGGAAAGAGCCCAGCGCCGAAUCGCGCGAUCGUACCGGUCGCGCGACAUGUGGCGUUCGGGAGGUUCCGCUUUCUCGUCGUCGGGUCUCCUGUCCAAGUUCCUCUUGAACGGGGCCGCUUUCCCGGAGAGGGUGCCAGGCCCGUAGAGACGGAGCGCGGCGGCGAGAGGGACUCUCCUUAGAGUCGGGUCGCUUGAGAGUGCAGCCCCAAGCGGGUGGUAAACUCCAUCUAAGGCUAAAUAUCACCGCGAGACCGAUAGCGAACGAGUACCGUGAGGGAAAGUUGAAAAGAACUUUGAAGAGAGAGUUCAAGAGUACGUGAAACCGUUCAGGGGUAAACCUGCGAAACUCGAAUGAAGGAACGGAGAGAUUCAACACUGGCCCGCCGCAAAAGUGUGUGGGAGGUGUGCACUUCUCUCUUAGUAAAACGUUGCGACCCACUCCGUAUCCGACUAAGGAACUAUCGUAGCCGAUGGCGUCGGGCGUCGUCGGACCAGCGUUAGUUACUGUUGGUAAAGAGUGGUAGACUACGAUUCGCGCACGCGCUUUUGACGCGUUCGGCCCUACUGCGGUAGUAGUGCCGUAGUCCGCCUUUGCGCGAACUAUGGCGCUGCACGCUCGAGUUUGUGCCUGUCUUGCGACAUCGGACGGUGCGUGUCUCGGUCGGCGACGAUUACGUUUCGGGCACUCCGCAGGACCCGUCUUGAAACACGGACCGAGGAGUCUAGCAUGUGUGCGAGUCAUUGAGUUUUGAAGCUGAAAGGCGAAACGAAAGUGAAGCGGUGUUUCUAACGGAGCACCUGGGAGGAUGAUCGCGGAACUCCGUCCGCGCCCGCACUUCCGAGGCGUUCUUUCCCAAUUUGCGGAUGUGGACGUGCUAUGAGCACAAAUGCUGGGACCCGAAGACGGUGAUCUAUGCCUGGUCAGGUCGAAGUCACGGGAAACUGUGAUGGAGGACCGAAGCGAUUCUGACGUGCAAAUCGAUCGUCUGAACUGGGUAUAGGGGCGAAAGACCAAUCGAACCGUCUAAUAGCUGGUUCCGUCCGAAGUUUCCCUCAGGAUAGCUGGCGCCGAUCGUGAACAGUCUCAUCCGGUAAAGCGACUGAUUGGAGUAUUAGAAAUCGAAACGUUUCCUAACUCUUCUCAAACUCUAAAUGGGUGAGAACUCCGGCUUGCUUAAAUAUUGAAGCUCGCGAUUCGAUGACGGUGCCAAGUGGGCCAAUUUUGGUAAGCAGAACUGGCGCUGCGGGAUGAACCGAACGUAGAGUUAAGGCGCCCAAAAGACGCUCACAGUUACCUAAAAGAGGUUGGACGUUCAAGACAUCAGGACGGUGGCCAUGGAGGUUGGUAUCCGCUAAGGAGUGUAAACAACUCACCUGAAUAAGCGUGCAGCUCUGAAAAUGGAUGGCGCUCAAGUGUCUUGCCUAUACUCUACCGUUACCGGCACGUGCGGUGGACGGCCAAUGUCCGCCAUUAAGCCGUAACGAGUAGGACGAGCGCGGCGGAGAGCGCAGAAGGGUCUGGGCGUGAGCCCGCCUGGAGCCUCCGUCGGUGCAGAUCUUGGUGGUAGUAGCAAUACCCGGUGAGGCCCCGGAGGACCGACGUGGAGAAGGGUUUCGCGUAAACAGUAGUUGCACGAGUCAGUCGAUCCUAAGCUCAAGGAGAAAUCUUUUAUGGAUGUGUUUCUGUAAUAAGAACUACGUCCGUCGAGCAGGGAAUCCCGGUUGAAAUUCCGGAACCCGGCAGCGGAAGCGUUUCAGUAAUCGUUCGUUCGCCCAAAAGGUGUGAAUGUUCGACGGGGUGACCCGAACGGGCCUGGAGACGCCGUCGGAGGUUCGGGAAGAGUUUUUCUUCUAUUGAGCGUUCGAGUUCCGCGGAAUUCUGUAGAAGGGAGAUGCGGUUCGGAACGCGAAGAGCAUCGCUAUGGAGCGAUGUCCGGAUCCUCCAUACGGACCUUGAAAAUUCAAGGAGGGACAUACGCGUAAUGUCGCUCGUACCAUAUCCGCAGCAGGUCUCCGAGGUGAAGAGCCCUGGUCGAUAGAAUAAUGUAGGGAAGUCGGCAAAUUGGAUCCGUAACUUCGGAAUAAGGAUUGGCUCCGAGGGCCGAGGCGAGUCGAGCUCGAGAGUGAAAGGACGCGUCGGAGUACGGCUGGUGUAAAGUCAUCCGAAACUCUGACCUCCGAUAGAUCUUUCGAGUGAAUCUCGGAUCGUGGCAUCUCGAUUCGAGGUACCUACGACCGCCGUAAACGGCCAACUCGGAACUGGCACGGACAAGGAGAAUCCGACUGUCUAAUAAAACAUAGCAUUGCGAUGACCCUCGUGUUGACGCAAUGUGAUUUCUGCCCGGUGCUCGGAAUGUCAACGUGAAGAAAUUCGCCGAAGCACGGGUAAACGGCGGAGUAACUAUGACCUUCAUAGAAGCCACCGUCACCCAAUUAGUGACGCGCAUGAAUGGAUCAACGAGAUUCUCGCUGUCCCUAUCUACUU